CCUACGGGGGGCUGCAGUGGGGAAUAUUGCGCAAUGAGGGAAACCUUGACGCAGCGACGCCGCGUGAGUGAUGAAGGCCUUCGGGUUGUAAAGCUCUGUAUUAAGGGAAGAACGGCUGGUAAGCAAAGAACUUAUCAGUCUGACAGUACCUUAGUAAUAGCCCCGGCUAACUACGUGCCAGCAGCCGCGGUAACACGUAGGGGGCGAGCGUUGUUCGGAAUUACUGGGCGUAAAGGGCGUGUAGGCGGCUAUAAAAGUCAGGUGUGAAAAGCCUCGGCUCAACCGAGGACUAGCACAUGAAACUAAAUAGCUUGAGUGCAGGAGAGGGGAGCGGAAUUCCCGGUGUAGCGGUGAAAUGCGUAGAUAUCGGGAAGAACACCGGUGGCGAAGGCGGCUCUCUGGACUGCAACUGACGCUGAGGCGCGAAAGCUAGGGUAGCGAACGGGAUUAGAUACCCUAGUAGUC
rnacentral:rRNA from 1 species